GACGUAGGGCGCGAGCGUUGUCCGGAUUUAUUGGGCGUAAAGAGCUCGUAGGCGGCUUGUCGCGUCGUCCGUGAAAACUUGGGGCUCAACCCCAAGCUUGCGGUCGAUACGGGCAGGCUAGAGUUCGGUAGGGGAGGCUGGAAUUCCUGGUGUAGCGGUGAAAUGCGCAGAUAUCAGGAGGAACACCGGUGGCGAAGGCGGGUCUCUGGGCCGAUACUGACGCUGAGGAGCGAAAGCGUGGGGAGCGAACAGG
rnacentral:rRNA from 1 species